rnacentral:rRNA from 1 species
UACGUAGGUUGCGAGCGUUGUCCGGAAUCACUGGGCGUAAAGCGCACGCAGGCGGCUUCGGAAGCCCAAGGUGAAAGCCCUCGGCCUAACCGAGGGAGGCCCUUGGGAACUCCGAAGCUUGAAGGCGGGAGAGGCGGAUGGAAUUUCCGGUGUAGCGGUAAAAUGCGUAGAUACCGGAAGGAACACCAGUGGCGAAAGCGAUCCGCUGGCCCGCUCUUGACGCUCAGGUGCGAAAGCUGGGGGAGCGACCGGG